rnacentral:lncRNA from 1 species
CGAAGAUUCGUGAACUUUGCUUGGUUCUCUUGUUAGUGCUGAAAAUCAGGAGUUCUUUCUCGAAGAAGAUCCAGGGCACUGCUGUGAGCUAAUGCUGUGAUGAUCGGCAUCGUUGUUAGAAUGGUGGUGAAGGUGGUAAAUCGCUACUUUGCGAAAAGCAAGAUUGAGCAUGUUUGUGACACGGAAGAAAAGUGUGCAAAAGC